UGACACCGUAACUUCGGGAGAAGGUGUGCCGCUGGCGGUUAGUGACUUCGCGUCACGAAGCUGUCGGUGGUCGCAGUGAAAUGGCGGUUGUGACUGUUUACUAAAAACACAGGACUCUGCGAAGUCGUAAGACGACGUAUAGGGUCUGAUGCCUGCCCGGUGCUGGAAGGUUAAGGGGAUAUGUCAGCGCAAGCGAAGCAUUGAACCGAGGCCCCAGUAAACGGCGGCCGUAACCAUAACGGUCCUAAGGUAGCGAAAUUCCUUGUCGGGUAAGUCCCGACCUGCACGAGGGCAUAACAACAUCCGCACUGUCUCGACCAGGGACUCAGCGAAAUUACAUUGGGGGUGAAGAUGCCCUCUACCCGCGGAAAGACGGAAAGACCCCAUGAACCUUUACUGCAACUUGGCAGUGAUUUUCGGGUUGUUCUGCGUAGGAUAGGUGGGAGGCUUUGAAGCCGGGCUUCCGGGUUCGGCAGAGCCAACGUUGAAAUACCACCCUGAAUAAUCUGGAAAUCUAACCUGCGCCCAUGAUCUGGGCGAGGGACACUGCCUGGUGGGCAGUUUGACUGGGGCGGUCGCCUCCUAAAUUGUAACGGAGGCGUGCGACGGUUCCCUCAGGCUGAUUGGAAACCAGCCGUAGAGUGCAAACGCAUAAGGGAGCUUUACUGCGAGACUGACAAGUCGAACAGUUGCGAAAGCAGGUGUUAGUGAUCCGGUGGUACCACAUGGAAGGGCCAUCGCUCAUCGGAUAAAAGGUACUCUGGGGAUAACAGGCUGAUCGCGCCUGAGAGUUCACAUCGGCGGCGCGGUUUGGCACCUCGAUGUCGGCUCAUCGCAUCCUGGGGCUGGAGCAGGUCCCAAGGGUUUGGCUGUUCGCCAAUUAAAGCGGUACGCGAGCUGGGUUUAAAACGUCGUGAGACAGUUUGGUCCCUAUCUUCCGUGGGCGCAGGACACUUGAGAGGAGCUAUCCAUAGUACGAGAGGACCUGGAUGGACGAACCUCUGGUGCUCCGGUUGUCACGCCAGUGGCAUAGCCGGGUAGCCAUGUUCGGAACAGAUAACCGCUGAAGGCAUAUAAGCGGGAAGCUGGCCUCAAGACUAGGUGUCCUUGACGCAAGUCACUAAAGGCCCCUCGAAGACUACGAGGUUGAUAGGCUCGGUGUGGAAGCGCUGCGAGGCGUGGAGCUAACGAGUACUAAUAGGCCGUGCGACUUGACCUC
rnacentral:rRNA from 1 species